UACAGAGGGGGCAAGCGUUGUCCGGAAUUACUGGGCGUAAAGGGCGCGUAGGCGGCUUGGUAAGUCGGGGGUGAAAGUCAGCGGCUCAACCGCUGGACUGCCUUCGAGACUGCCUGGCUUGAGCAUGGUAGAGGCUGGCGGAAUUCCCGGUGUAGCGGUGGAAUGCGUAGAGAUCGGGAAGAACAUCGGUGGCGAAGGCGGCCAGCUGGGCCAUUGCUGACGCUGAGGCGCGACAGCGUGGGGAGCAAACAGG
rnacentral:rRNA from 1 species